rnacentral:rRNA from 1 species
UGAGGAAUAUUGCGCAAUGGACGAAAGUCUGACGCAGCCAUGCCGCGUGAAGGAUUGAAGGUCCUAUGGAUUGUAAACUUCUUUUGUAUGGGAAUAAACUUCCGGACGUGUCCGGAACUGAAGGUACCAUAAGAAUAAGCACCGGCUAACUCCGUGCCAGCAGCCGCGGUAAUACGGAGGGUGCAAGCGUUAUCCGGAUUUAUUGGGUUUAAAGGGUCCGUAGGCGGACGUUUAAGUCAGUGGUGAAAGCCCUCUGCUCAACAGAGGAAUUGCCAUUGAUACUGAAUGUCUUGAGUACGAGUGAAGCUGGCGGAAUGUGCAGUGUAGCGGUGAAAUGCUUAGAUAUUGCACAGAACACCAAUUGCGAAGGCAGCUGGCUAACUCGAAACUGACGCUGAGGGACGAAAGUGUGGGGAUCAAACAGG